UUGUAAUUCUUAACUUCCUGUACGUUUAAAAGUAUAAAAGAGAUACUAAGUGUAGUGACUUAAUUUUAUCCCUUUAAUUGCAGAUAUCAAGCUACCUGCAGCUAAUCAGAGUGCAGAAACCUUUGAAGGAUUAAUUAAUUGGUUAGAGUUUUCCAUGUCUCUGUGUUCGAUCAGUCAGUUUCCACCUGAGGAGUUUUCACCUGCAGCAGCAGCUCGACCUUUGACCUCCAGCAGCUCACAGAACAACAGCCACAUUCCUGAGUAACGGCUCAGGUCAUCAUUGUGAAUGGAUGGUACCACACACACACACACACACACACACACACGCACGCACGCACGCACGCACACACCAUCAGCAGCUUAUUUUUAUGCGUAAGAAGUCUGAUUUUGUACAGUUAGAUUUUGUCUCAUGUCUGUUUGUUCACAGCAGAGCUUGAGUCAGGCAGUGAUGAGCUCAGCUUCACAAAAAAAACAGUAAGGGAUUAGAUCAUUUCAUUUAGGAUGAGAUCAGAUCUUUGUGUGAUGUUUUUUUAAGGCUAGAGACAAUUAUAUAUUAAAUACUGUAUAAAUUAAAUAUGAACUUUAUAAUAGGACCAUUAAAGCUGUUUGAACAUCAUAUAAUUAAAUCAGAUUAUGAACAAAUCCAGUCUAGAAGGAUAUGAUCACUGCUGGAUAAUGAUGAGCUCAUUACCUGUUAAAGCACCUGCUCUCUCUGGCGCCCUCUGUUGGUCAAGACCUGCGGAAGAUUUUGGAAGAAAGCAUGUGAAUCCACAUCAAGACUUUGAGGACCUCUGCCUGGAAACAGACUGAGGCUGUUCUAUGUUUCCAAGACCUGUUUAUGUUUAUGCAUAUGCCUACUGAUUUGAAUAGGGAGAAACUGCUCCAGUUCAUCAGAGGAUAGAGAGACUGAAAAAACCUGAACUGACCUCGAAGGAUUAUCAAACUCCCUCAAAGACCCCAGCCUUGGUGAAUGCGCGGCCCAGAUGACUUGUGUCCUCUUCCAGGAAUGUCCAAACCCUCACCAAGGAUUACUGGAAAAGUCAUCUUGGGAUUGUUCAAGGACUUUUACAGCAAAAACAAUGACUGUUAAGGACUCAAGGACCACUUGAAGAACUUCCCUUGAAUCCCUUGAAUGCUUCAAAAAUAACUCUUGAAAUCUGUUUUCAGAUACCUGGCAAUCUUUGGUAUGGUGGCUCUGAACGACAAGGAAAACAGACAUUUAAG